UCACUUCGGUAAUGCAUAAGCUAAAAUUGUAAAAAGAAUUAGCAUGGCCCUUGCCCAAGGAUAACACACAAAUGCAUGAAAU
rnacentral:snRNA from 1 species